GACCCACACCAAGCCUCUAGAUCCCUUGCCCCUUGGGGCAGUGGGGAGCAGAAGAUCCGGUAUGCCGGCUGUUGAAGGAAUGACUUCUUCUGGUCCAGGUUCCAGGUUCACCACAGAGGAUGCAAUGAGGAAACCAGUGCAUUCGAAGGUGAAAUACAAAAGGGGUUCCCUCCCUCUCUGGGUUUUGAGUAAUGGAUUUGCAGUCUGCCAGGUUGGGUAGAUAAGAGGAGCUGGUGACAACAGGUUUCUGGGUCCUGGCCAAAGGCAGCCACUCAUCUGGGAAGCCCAGAGGGAGAAAUGAGUGAAAUGCUGGAAUAGAGUAAUGAGGAUAUAGAAUAUAUUCUUGCACGUAAUGAACGACACUGCUGGCAAGGCACAAGGAACCUUCUGUAAGAUGCUGUGUGCUGGCACAGUUAUUGGUUCCUUUUAUCUCAGUAGGUGCUUUAAGUAUUUCAACUUUGUCCAAAGCACCAAAAUGAGCCUGAAGGUUCAUCUCACCCACUUUCCUGUCUCCAGCAGUGGGCUGUGGUGGAUGCCAAGGGGGGAGCACGGGAAACAGGAUGAGCACAUAGUGAUUUCUUCCCUAAAAUCCUCUGCACAUCUCCUGAAGUUUACACUGUGAAUCACCAUCCCUGGAGGUGUUCAGGAACCACAGAGAUGUGGCACUGAGGGACAUGGUCAGUGGGCAUGGUGGGUGUGGGCUGGUAGUUGGGCUAGAUGAUCUUGGAGGUCUUUUCCAACCUUAAUGAUUCUAUGAUUCUGUGUUUCUGUCACCACCUUUAGAAGGUGACAGAAGGUGACCAAGCUCCUUGUGUUUGCUUCCUCUCCUUCCAGCCACCUGUGUCACUGGGUAUGUACAAGAGCAUGUACAAGAAGGAAUACACAUGGAAAGAGGGAAUCAAACCACCCACUGAGGAGGAUGUGCAGAAGCUCAGAGCCAAGGAGUUUGCUGUGCCCAAGGAGCCGCAGGUGAUACCAUACUAUGACAAAGCUGUCAGGGAAGGGAGAGAAGUCGCACCAAGUGAGAAGCAAGAAGGCACUGCCAUCAGUCCCAGAAUGCUGCAGCAGGCUCAUGAAGAGCAGAGAAAGCCCUUCAGUUCUGACUUCCCCAUCGCAGAAAGCCAUGCACCAAAGCAGUACCUCACUACUGAACUGGCAGGACCAGAGAGGCCACAGGCUCUCAGUGGGCUGAAAAAUGAACUGUCUUCUUCCCAGAACCUUCAGGCUGCUGGUGGUGGCCUAGGAGCAGCAGGGUCGAUGCUGUAUAGGCAGAAGCUGGAUCCGACCUGGGGUACCUACCAGCACUUCAUGCUGGAGGCAGGCCAGGCCCUGCAACACGAGGCUCAGCAGAACAAGAAUAUGGGCAUAGGCUCAUCGGUUUUGAAGAAAGAGGGCUCUGACCAUGACCAGAGAACUACCUACAGCAUCGACUUCCAGGGCCAGCCUGUAGCCGACAAAGGAAGCUGUGUAGCAAAUAAGAAUCAAUCUCACGUUUUCACUGAAGAUGUACUCCUCCGCAAGAACCGCUGGGUGUCUGAAUACAAGGACAACUACAGCGUUCAGCUACAGAAGCUGAAUCGAGCAUCUAAAGGCUACACUGCAGAGCUUGGCUCUGCCUUGAAGCCCCAAGGGGAGUCCUCCCAGAGUGAGGCUGCACCAGACACAGCCCAGUGAAUGGUGCUGCAUGCUCCCUAUUCUCCAAGCCAUGGGAUAUUUUCCACCGUAGAUCCUGGAAGCCUGGAAACGUCUCUUCCAAACCCACCAUUACCAAAUACUUCUAAAUUGUUCAGCAGAAACCUUUUUACGCACAAAUUUCAGGAAGAAACAUGAGCUUUUCUCACUGUCUGAAAUAAAAAGGGUUUUUUGGACGGCGCA
ensembl:lncRNA uncharacterized LOC107313853